rnacentral:snRNA from 1 species
CGUCGAACGCAGCGAGGCCGUGGGCAACGGCCGUGGACCAACGGUGUAGGGUGUGCGGCUCUCAUCCCGAGACUCUGCCGCACGUCCUGUGUCACUGCAUGACUCACAUCCAGGAGUACCUGCAGCGGAAGUACCAGAAAGUGUCCGUGGAGGUGAUCAUCGUCGGAGCCCUCGGAUCCUGGGACCCCCGGAACGACCGCGUAUGCGGCGCUUCUGCAGCAAGAAGUACCUGCGGCUGUUCCAAGAAGUUGGCUGUCAGCGAGACCAUCGCAGCAUCCCGCAACGUCUACGCUGACCACAUCGCCGCCAAGUGAAAUAAACCUUCACUGGGUAGUCACACACUAAACUAACACACACCUUCAUGCCAGCUCAAAAACUUCCAACACAUAUUUUACACACGCUAAACAAACACGCACCUCCAUGCCUGCUCAAAAACAAACACCAAACUCAAGUGCCAUUUUUGUGUCGUUAUUAACAGUCCUUUUUGGAAAAAAAUUUAAAAAACAUUUUUCUAAAAACCUCUGUUCUUAUCAGCUUAAUAUCUGAUACGGGUCCUAUUUGGACCCAAGAUAUUAAACUUAUUUUUGGAAUGGGGCGGAGUGCUUUAAGCUUGCUUCACCUCCGCCACGGGUUGACCCGGUAUUGCACUGCCUCCGGGAUCGGCCCACUCACCCCACGGGCUCCACGCCUG